UACGUAGGGUCCAAGCGUUAUCCGGAAUCACUGGGCGUAAAGCGUGCGUAGGUGGCUGGUUAAGUGUAUUGCGAAAUCCUGUGGCUCAACCAUAUGGACUGUAAUGCAUACUGGAUAUCUAGAGGACGGCAGAGGCAAGUGGAAUUUGUAGUGUAGCAGUGAAAUGCGUAGAUAUUACAAGGAACACCAAUGGCGAAGGCAGCUUGCUGGGCCGACCCUGACACUGAGGUACGAAAGCGUGGGGAGCGAACAGG
rnacentral:rRNA from 1 species